rnacentral:rRNA from 1 species
AUUGAACGCUGGCGGCAGGCCUAACACAUGCAAGUCGAGCGGAGCGGCGGACGGGUGAGUGAUGCCUAGGAAUGUGCCUGGUAGUGGGGGAUAGCGUCCGGUAACGGGCGCUAAUACCGCAUACUAUCAGAUGAGCCUGGGGCGGAUUAGCUAGUUGGUGGGGUAAAGGCCUACCAAGCCGACGAUCCGUAACUGGUCUGAGAGGAUGAUCAGUCACACUGGAACUGAGACACGGCCCAGACUCCUACGGGAGGCAGCAGUGGGGAAUAUUGGACAAUGGGCGAAAGCCUGAUGCAGCCAUGCCGCGUGUGUGAAGAAGGCCUUCGGAUUGUAAAGCACUUUAAGUUGGGAGGCGUUACCAACAGAAGAAGCACCGGCUAACUCCGUGCCAGCAGCCGCGGUAAUUC